rnacentral:lncRNA from 1 species
AUUGCUUUAGACAGUUUGGACUAGUAUAACUAUAUAAUAUUUGUUGAUUUAAGCAGCAAACAUUUAUUUCUUACAAUUCUGAAGGCUGGGAAAUCCAAAAUCAAGGUUCCACCUGAUUCAGUGUCUGGUGAGGACCCUCUUCUUGGUUUGCAGCCUGCUGCCCGCUUGCUAUAUCCUCACAUACUGGAGGGAGGGAGAGAAUUCUGAUGCCAGCUGUGAAAAUGUGGAAUCUCUGGAAAACAAACAGAAGAGAAAAGGUGUCUUAUAGACAAGAAAGUAACAUCAAAAACAAGACCCACUGAUGGACAAUGUCACAAAACCCACCGAAGUCAGCAGCAGAGAAAUAAGAAAACACCGUAUGGGAGAAGGUAUAUGAGGAAGGAAAGAAGAAGGCUAGCAGGUGAAGAAAAAGAAGGUCAGGUGAGGGCAGUGGAGAAGGAAAGACAUGCAGACGUGUGGAAGAGUGCUCAAAAUGCCUGCCACUUACAGAGAAGCUGAAGGACAGAGGAAGGAAGACAGAGGGAAAGGAAAGGAUGUCUAAACCACACUGGUCUCAGAAGAGUGAAAGACGCGCAAUGUUCUAAUGAAGAAACCGGGGAAGAGCAACGUUUGGUGAGUCUGCCAAAGAGUACAAAAAAAAAAAAAAAAAAACAGUAGGGUAGUAAAACAGUUACCACG